rfam:Methylacidiphilum infernorum V4, complete genome.
UCUGGUGACCAUAGAGACAUGGAACCACCCGUUCCCAUCCCGAACACGGAAGUGAAACGUGUCUUCGCCGAUGGUAGUGUACCGAUAGGGUACGUGAGAGUAGGGCGUUGCCAGAA